AUUGAACGCUGGCGGCAUGCUUUACACAUGCAAGUCGAACGGUAACAGGCCUUCGGGUGCUGACGAGUGGCGAACGGGUGAGUAAUGCAUCGGAACGUGCCCAGAGGUGGGGGAUAACGCAGCGAAAGCUGUGCUAAUACCGCAUGUGAUCUGAGGAUGAAAGCGGGGGACCAGGCAGCAAUGUUUGGCCUCGCGCCUUUGGAGCGGCCGAUGUCAGAUUAGGUAGUUGGUGGGGUAAAGGCCUACCAAGCCGACGAUCUGUAGCUGGUCUGAGAGGACGACCAGCCACACUGGGACUGAGACACGGCCCAGACUCCUACGGGAGGCAGCAGUGGGGAAUUUUUGACAAUGGGCGCAAGCCUGAUCCAGCAAUGCCGCGUGCGGGAAGAAGGCCUUCGGGUUGUAAACCGCUUUUGUACGGAACGAAAAGGCUCUGGCUAAUACCUGGGGCUGAUGACGGUACCGUAAGAAUAAGCACCGGCUAACUACGUG
rnacentral:rRNA from 1 species